GGCAGUAUGGUGUAAUGAUGCACACAGGGUUCUCUUACCAUGUUUGAAGAUGAGAAUAAUAUAUUCCCGAAGUCCUUGUUCGAAUCAAGGUACUGCUA